UAUCAGAAGUGCGAAUGCUGACAUAAGUAACGAUAAAGCGGGUGAAAAGCCCGCUCGCCGGAAGACCAAGGGUUCCUGUCCAACGUUAAUCGGGGCAGGGUGAGUCGACCCCUAAGGCGAGGCCGAAAGGCGUAGUCGAUGGGAAACAGGUUAAUAUUCCUGUACUUGGUGUUACUGCGAAGGGGGGACGGAGAAGGCUAUGUUGGCCGGGCGACGGUUGUCCCGGUUUAAGCGUGUAGGCUGGUUUUCCAGGCAAAUCCGGAAAAUCAAGGCUGAGGCGUGAUGACGAGGCACUACGGUGCUGAAGCAACAAAUGCCCUGCUUCCAGGAAAAGCCUCUAAGCAUCAGGUAACAUCAAAUCGUACCCCAAACCGACACAGGUGGUCAGGUAGAGAAUACCAAGGCGCUUGAGAGAACUCGGGUGAAGGAACUAGGCAAAAUGGUGCCGUAACUUCGGGAGAAGGCACGCUGAUAUGUAGGUGAAGUCCCUCGCGGAUGGAGCUGAAAUCAGUCGAAGAUACCAGCUGGCUGCAACUGUUUAUUAAAAACACAGCACUGUGCAAACACGAAAGUGGACGUAUACGGUGUGACGCCUGCCCGGUGCCGGAAGGUUAAUUGAUGGGGUUAGCGCAAGCGAAGCUCUUGAUCGAAGCCCCGGUAAACGGCGGCCGUAACUAUAACGGUCCUAAGGUAGCGAAAUUCCUUGUCGGGUAAGUUCCGACCUGCACGAAUGGCGUAAUGAUGGCCAGGCUGUCUCCACCCGAGACUCAGUGAAAUUGAACUCGCUGUGAAGAUGCAGUGUACCCGCGGCAAGACGGAAAGACCCCGUGAACCUUUACUAUAGCUUGACACUGAACAUUGAGCCUUGAUGUGUAGGAUAGGUGGGAGGCUUUGAAGUGUGGACGCCAGUCUGCAUGGAGCCGACCUUGAAAUACCACCCUUUAAUGUUUGAUGUUCUAACGUUGACCCGUAAUCCGGGUUGCGGACAGUGUCUGGUGGGUAGUUUGACUGGGGCGGUCUCCUCCUAAAGAGUAACGGAGGAGCACGAAGGUUGGCUAAUCCUGGUCGGACAUCAGGAGGUUAGUGCAAUGGCAUAAGCCAGCUUGACUGCGAGCGUGACGGCGCGAGCAGGUGCGAAAGCAGGUCAUAGUGAUCCGGUGGUUCUGAAUGGAAGGGCCAUCGCUCAACGGAUAAAAGGUACUCCGGGGAUAACAGGCUGAUACCGCCCAAGAGUUCAUAUCGACGGCGGUGUUUGGCACCUCGAUGUCGGCUCAUCACAUCCUGGGGCUGAAGUAGGUCCCAAGGGUAUGGCUGUUCGCCAUUUAAAGUGGUACGCGAGCUGGGUUUAGAACGUCGUGAGACAGUUCGGUCCCUAUCUGCCGUGGGCGCUGGAGAACUGAGGGGGGCUGCUCCUAGUACGAGAGGACCGGAGUGGACGCAUCACUGGUGUUCGGGUUGUCAUGCCAAUGGCACUGCCCGGUAGCUAAAUGCGGAAGAGAUAAGUGCUGAAAGCAUCUAAGCACGAAACUUGCCCCGAGAUGAGUUCUCCCUGACUCCUUGAGAGUCCUGAAGGAACGUUGAAGACGACGACGUUGAUAGGCCGGGUGUGUAAGCGCAGCGAUGCGUUGAGCUAACCGGUACUAAUGAACCGUGAG
rnacentral:rRNA from 1 species